CGGCCUAUCAGCUUGUUGGUGAGGUAAUGGCUCACCAAGGCGACGACCGGUUGCCGGCCUGAGAGGGUGACCGGCCUAACUGGGACUGAAACACGGCCCAGACUCCUACGGGAGGCAGCAGUGGGGAAUAUUGCACAAUGGGCGAAAGCCUGAUGCAGCAACGCCGCGUGAGGGAUGACGGCCUUCGGGUUGUAAACCUCUUUUAGUAGGGAAGAAGCGUAAGUGACGGUACCUGCAGAAAAAGCACCGGCUAACUACGUGCCAGCAGCCGCGGUAAUACGUAGGGUGCAAGCGUUGUCCGGAAUUAUUGGGCGUAAAGAGCUCGUAGGCGGUUUGUCGCGUCUGCUGUGAAAUCCCGAGGCUCAACCUCGGGCUUGCAGUGGGUACGGGCAGACUAGAGUGCGGUAGGGGAGAUUGGAAUUCCUGGUGUAGCGGUGGAAUGCGCAGAUAUCAGGAGGAACACCGAUGGCGAAGGCAGAUCUCUGGGCCGUAACUGACGCUGAGGAGCGAAAGCGUGGGGAGCGAACAGGAUUAGAUACCCUGGUAGUCCACGCCGUAAACGUUGGGCGCUAGAUGUAGGGACCUUUCCACGGUUUCUGUGUCGUAGCUAACGCAUUAAGCGCCCCGCCUGGGGAGUACGGCCGCAAGGCUAAAACUCAAAGGAAUUGACGGGGGCCCGCACAAGCGGCGGAGCAUGCGGAUUAAUUUGAUGCAACGCGAAGAACCUUACCAAGGCUUGACAUACACCGGAAACGGCCAGAGAUGGUUGCCCCCUUGUGGUCGGUGUACAGGUGGUGCAUGGUUGUCGUCAGCUCGUGUCGUGAGAUGUUGGGUUAAGUCCCGCAACGAGCGCAACCCUCGUUCUAUGUUGCCAGCGCGUUAUGGCGGGGACUCAUAGGAGACUGCCGGGGUCAACUCGGAGGAAGGUGGGGAUGACGUCAAAUCAUCAUGCCCCUUAUGUCUUGGGCUUCACGCAUGCUACAAUGGCCGGUACAAAGGGGUGCGAUACCGUAAGGUGGAGCGAAUCCCAAAAAGCCGGUCUCAGUUCGGAUUGAGGUCUGCAACUCGACCUCAUGAAGUCGGAGUCGCUAGUAAUCGCAGAUCAGCAACGCUGCGGUGAAUACGUUCCCGGGCCUUGUACACCCCCCCCGUCAAGUCAUGUAAGUCGGUAACACC
rnacentral:rRNA from 1 species